rnacentral:rRNA from 1 species
UACGAAGGGGGCUAGCGUUGUUCGGAAUCACUGGGCGUAAAGGGCGCGUAGGCGGCUUGAUAAGUCGGGGGUGAAAGCCUGUGGCUCAACCACAGAAUUGCCUUCGAUACUGUCGAGCUUGAGACCGGAAGAGGUAAGUGGAACUGCGAGUGUAGAGGUGAAAUUCGUAGAUAUUCGCAAGAACACCAGUGGCGAAGGCGGCUUACUGGUCCAUUACUGACGCUGAGGUGCGAAAGCGUGGGGAGCAAACAGG